rnacentral:rRNA from 1 species
CCCUUAGAGUUUGAUCCUGGCUCAGAGUGAACGCUGGCGGUAGGCCUAACACAUGCAAGUCGAACGGCAGCACAGGAGAGCUUGCUCUCUGGGUGGCGAGUGGCGGACGGGUGAGGAAUACAUCGGAAUCUACCUUUUCGUGGGGGAUAACGUAGGGAAACUUACGCUAAUACCGCAUACGACCUACGGGUGAAAGUGGGGGACCGCAAGGCCUCACGCGAUUAGAUGAGCCGAUGUCCGAUUAGCUAGUUGGCGGGGUAAUGGCCCACCAAGGCGACGAUCGGUAGCUGGUCUGAGAGGAUGAUCAGCCACACUGGAACUGAGACACGGUCCAGACUCCUACGGGAGGCAGCAGUGGGGAAUAUUGGACAAUGGGCGCAAGCCUGAUCCAGCCAUACCGCGUGGGUGAAGAAGGCCUUCGGGUUGUAAAGCCCUUUUGUUGGGAAAGAAAUCCUGUCGAUUAAUACUCGGUGGGGAUGACGGUACCCAAAGAAUAAGCACCGGCUAACUUCGUGCCAGCAGCCGCGGUAAUACGAAGGGUGCAAGCGUUACUCGGAAUUACUGGGCGUAAAGCGUGCGUAGGUGGUGGUUUAAGUCUGCUGUGAAAGCCCUGGGCUCAACCUGGGAAUUGCAGUGGAUACUGGAUCACUAGAGUGUGGUAGAGGGAUGCGGAAUUUCUGGUGUAGCAGUGAAAUGCGUAGAGAUCAGAAGAACAUCCGUGGCGAAGCGGCAUCCUGGGCCAACACUGACACUGAGCACGAAAGCGUGGGGAGCAAACAGAUUAGAUACCCUGGUAGUCCACGCCCUAACGUG